rnacentral:ncRNA from 1 species
UUUACCGUGAGGUAAGGGCUGAAGGCAGCGUGUAUCAAAAUCUUGGCUCGACGAAUAGAAAUCUGAUACUAAGGCGCGUUAGGCGGAUGAGACUCCUAUACAAGUCAAAGUCCAAACGAUGUGCGUAACCCUGACGAGUAAAUCAGACGAGUAAAAGAGGAAAGAUGGUCGU